GCAACGGUGGCCUAGUGGUUAGAGCGUCAGCCUUGGACACGUGAUGUCGUGGGUUCGAUUCCCUGUCGAGUUAUA